rnacentral:lncRNA from 1 species
CCACCCCAUGCAUAAAUUGAUUAAAAAAGUAUUAAAAUUCUUGAACUAGCCUUGAAUUGAUGAGUUGUACAUAAUUUUGAAAUUUAUCCUCCUAUAAUUCAAGAUUUAACUCUCCUGGAUUCUACAGCAACCAGGGAACCAGAGUUUUCAUGCAUAGGAAAAGAGCAUUAGUGGGAAUAAGUGGAUGCCGUGAUUGGCCGUGGUAGG